AAACUUUCAACAACGGAUCUCUUGGUUCUGGCAACGAUGAAGAACGCAGCGAAAUGCGAUAAGUAAUGUGAAUUGCAGAAUUUCAGUGAAUCAUCGAAAUCUUUUGAACGCACAUAGCGCCCCCUGGUAUUCCGGGGGGCACACCUGUUCCGAGCGCCAAUU
rnacentral:rRNA from 1 species